rnacentral:lncRNA from 1 species
CCAUUUUAGACAAAAAAAGUGAGGAAAGAAGAUAUUUCUUCCUUAAUUCAAGGGGCCGGACCCCAUUAAAAUUUUGAGUCACGUCAAGUUAGAUACAAUGUACGUUAGAUAGAACUCCAUAACUACUGACAAUUGUGUACCCAGCAACGUGAAACUAAGUAUCGCUACACUUGGAGGUAAUAGUUUGAGCUUAAGAAACUAUAGUACUACUCGA